rnacentral:misc_RNA from 1 species
AGCAGCCGCGGUAAUUCCAGCUCCAAUAGCGUAUAUUAAAGUUGUUGCAGUUAAAAAGCUCGUAGUUGAAUUUUGGAUUCUUCCAAUUGGUCCAUCUUUUAGAUGAGUACUGGUUGUGUGGGGUCUAUCCGCCUGGUGAUACGUAAUGUCCUUUAUUGGAUGUUGCGGGUAGUCAGGACCUUUACCUUGAAAAAAUUAGAGUGUUUAAAGCAGGCUUAUGCCGGAAUACAUUAGCAUGGAAUAAUAGAAUAGGACGAAGUUGUUUUAUUUUGUUGGUUUCUAGGACAACCGUAAUGAUUAAUAGGGAUAGUUGGGGGCAUUAGUAUUCAAUUGUCAGAGGUGAAAUUCUUGGAUUUAUUGAAGACUAACUACUGCGAAAGCAUUUGCCAAGGAUGUUUUCAUUAAUCAAGAACGAAAGUUAGGGGAUCGAAGACGAUCAGAUACCGUCGUAGUCUUAACCAUAAACUAUGCCGACUAGGGAUCGGAUGAUGUUAAUUUUUUUAAUGACUCAUUCGGCGCC